AUUGAACGCUGGCGGCAGGCCUAACACAUGCAAGUCGAACGGAGUGGCGGACGGGUGAGUAAUGGCUGGGCAUCUGCCUGGUAGUGGGGGCUAAAGUCCGGAAACGGGCGCUAAUACCGCAUACUAUCAGAUGAGCCUAGGUCGGAUUAGCUAGUUGGUGGGGACCAGGCAUACCAAGGCGACGAUCCGUAACUGGUCUGAGAGGAUGAUCGGUCACACUGGAAUGGAGACACGGUCCAGAUGCCUACGGGGGGCAGCGGUGGGGAAUAUUGGACAAUGGGCGAAAGCCUGAUCCAGCCAUGCCGCGUGUGUGAAGAAGGUCUUGGGAUUGAAAAGUACUUUAAGUUGGGAGGCGUGACCAACAGAAUAAGCACCGGCUAACUUCGUGCCAGCAGCCGCGGUAAUA
rnacentral:rRNA from 1 species